rnacentral:rRNA from 1 species
CCUACUAUGCCUCGCCAUAACACAACAAUAAAAUAACUAAUUGUUCGCCAAAUAACUACGAGUAAAAACUUAAAAUUUAAAAGACUUGACGGUACUUCACACCAGCCUAGAGGAGCCUGUCUAAUAACCGAUAACCCACGAUUAACCCAACCUUUUCUAGCCUUACAGUCUAUAUACCGCCGUCGCCAGCUUACCUUAUGAAAGAAACAAAGUAAGCCAAACAGUAUCGCACUAACACGACAGGUCGAGGUGUAACUAAUGAAAAGGAUCAAGAUGGGCUACAUUUCUUAAACCAAGAAAGACGAACAGACUAUGAAACUAGAAACUGAAGGCGGAUUUAGCAGUAAGAUAGGAACAAAAUACCCACCCGAAAUUAAUGCAAUGAAGUGCGCACACACCGCCCGUCAUCCCUGUCAGACAAAAUGAGCCAUUCAUAAACAUCAUAACCCUUAAAACAGGGCAAG